GUUGCUGCGAACGUCCCUUCCCGCAGCUGGGGCAGGCUCGCCUGUGCUGCUCCUUUGGACAGGGAAGUUCGUCUUGGCAUUGCGGCCACUCAUCAGCACAGCGGCCUCAUCAUAUGCCCUCGCUGCCUCCUCUGCUGUCUCGAAGAGCUACUGGUGCCAAUCAUAUAGUUGAGUGCCAUUGGACGCAUGGACACAACUGCACAACAUAUAUGGCAUACUUUUUUCUGAAAAUGAAAAGGAACUUGCAUUUGGCGCGCUCGUAGUAUUUACAUAGUCAUCUGUGUGACUGGGGUACUAGGCCUUCCUAUGAUGCCAAAACUGAAGCGUCGGUCUGCAAUAAAUCGGUACCUGCUGUACAUCUACUCGUACGGUUUUGGCUCCACAGGCAUGUGUCAGCCGGUCACUUCUUGCUGGAUCAUAAGAAGCUUCGGUGAGAUCUUGUCUUCUGACACAGUCUCAGCGCAGUGGGUUUCCUGUUAUCUUCCCCCUGGAAAGGCGAAGCCGCAAGGACAAAUCUGGGGACAGCGCAAUAAAGAUGGCUUUAAUCGCUCCGAUCAACUCCAACCGUAAGCUUUCUCGUGCGUGUGGAUCAGGCGAGAGCUCCACAGUCCAGACUGAGACCACUCCACACUGGAGACAAGAGUACAAUACAGGACCUUCCCUCGGCUCCUCGGCGGUCGGAACUGCCCUCGGUCACUCUUGAGCCCGGAAAAGUCAGCCCGGGGCCGGGUCAGGUGGUGUGCGAGCGCCUUCUUCAUGUGCAGGUUUUGCUGCACUGGAGUCCACAUGCAUGCGCGCGGUAACUAUCGUGCCAGAGAUCCCAUGGGAGCUAAAAAGUUUUUAUAUCACCUUGGCAACUGUAGCACGUGCAGUAUAGUCCGGAGAUUUGGUACAUAGGGACGCAUGGUUGCAAGGGGGAGCUUCUGGCUUGUAUCACAAAUAAGCGCAUCGGAACAUCACAAGUCCCAACCAAGUCUAUAUACCGUGUAGCUAACUCGAUGGGGUACGAUGUGUAAGCGACUUCAGUUUAUCUAUCGAGAAAACCACUCGAACCAUAGCUUUUUGGCUAACGAGGGGGAUUUUUUUUAAACCUCAGCUUGAAAUU